rnacentral:rRNA from 1 species
CAACAGUCGCCACGGUAAUACGGAGGAUCCAAGCGUUAUCCGGAAUCAUUGGGUUUAAAGGGUCCGUAGGCGGUCUUGUAAGUCAGUGGUGAAAGCCCAUCGCUCAACGGUGGAACGGCCAUUGAUACUGCAGGACUUGAAUUAUUGGGAAGUAACUAGAAUAUGUAGUGUAGCGGUGAAAUGCUUAGAGAUUACAUGGAAUACCAAUUGCGAAGGCAGGUUACUACCAAUUGAUUGACGCUGAUGGACGAAAGCGUGGGUAGCGAACAGGAUUAGAUACCCCGGUAGUCCCUGUCUCUUAUAC